GUCUCACUAAUCCAGGUUUCCCCAGCCAAACUGCAUCCUGUGAAGGGGAAGUCCCUCACACAUGGCUGUGUGGCCACACGCCACAUGUGCAGGGAGCUGUGCUGCUGGGAGGGGAUGCUGAGCCUGGGCGAGCUCUCCGUGCCUGCCACGUUUCUUCAUGUGCAUCCUACACACACAACACUCCCAGGCUGCCUUCGGAGGCAGCUCAUCAAAGCUCACGCUCUAGAAACAGGAACAUACACAGGACUUUUUUUUUUUUCAUUUCAGUCUUCCAGCUUUAUUUUUUUAAGAGCUAAUAAGUAUUUUGUCUAACACUUUACCUGGCUUAAAGGAAAAUCCCAACAUGUGAGGCAGAGCCCAAGUUUCCCAUUGCUGCAUGGUAGCUGUGGCUGCUGAGGAGGAAGCAGCUGUGCCAGAGUCUGACCUGCGAUUUCACCUGCUUAAGCCAGGCUUGUGUAGGCAAUAUAAACCCCUCAGAGCCCUGCUGCAGCACUGCUCUCCUGACCUGCCACUGGCAGCCUGGCCCUGAUGGCUCCCUGGAGGCUUCCCCUGCUCGCCGUGGCUCUGCUGUGGGGCUGGGUGCUGGCCUCCUCCUCCUCCCCCAGCACAGUUGCUCCCCCACGGGACCUUCGGAUCACCGACCCCGGGCUCCUGGGCUCUCUGGAUGUGGAGUGGAAGCCUCCGCCCCACGCCCAGACCUUGGAGGAGUGCACAGUAAAAUACAAGUUUGAAUAUCGCAGCACUGGGGAUAGAGACUGGAAGGUUAUUUUUACUAGGAAGCUAAAACUCAGAGUUGGAUUUGACCUGAGCAGGACUGCUGAAGUGAGGCUGCAGACACUGCUCAGAGGACAGUGUACAGAUGAUGUGGAGGUGCAGAGUGACUGGAUUUAUGCAACAUUUCAGCUCCCACCACAAGGAAAACUUGAAUCAGAGGUCCAGAAUUUCAACUGCAUCUAUCAUGACUGGGAAUACCUGAAGUGCACCUGGCAGCCAGGUCUCCUCACACCCCGUGGUGUACAUUAUGGGCUAUAUUAUUGGUACGAGGGGCUGGAGCAGGCUCUGCAGUGUGAUCACUACAUCCAGGAGCACGGCGUGAACCUCGGCUGCGUGCUGCACAACCUCAGCCAGGCAGAGUACAGGGAUCUCAACAUUUGUGUCAAUGGCUCAGCAGCAGCCACUCUGCUGAGGCCACUCUACACCACCCUGCGCCUCCACAACCUCGCGCAGCCCUCGGCCCCGGAGCAGCUGGUGCUUUCCGUGUCGGCAGCGCAGGAGCUGCUGGCCGCCUGGAGCCCCCCGGGCGGGCGGGUGCCGCCGCACUGCCUGGAGUACGAGGUGCAGGUGGCGGAAGAUGCGGGACAAGCCGCGGCUGCCUGGGCGUCUGUUUCGACCCAAAUGGAAACUGCUGUAACAAUUUCCAGAGCAAAUCAAAGCCACGUUUCAUGUGUUCGUGUCAGGGGGAGAACAAACAUUUUUUGUGCUGACCAGGGCUUUUGGAGUGAAUGGACGCAGGAUUGUUUCUCUGUGCCCAGAAAAGAGGACAAGCAGCUAUUUAUUCUCAUUCCAGUCAUCCUGAGUUUGUCAAUUAGCCUCAUAAUAUUUAUGUUGAUUGGCCAGUGCAAGAAAAGAUCCCCAGCAGGAAAGCCAUUGCACACACCUGUGGGAUUCUAACUGCCUGUGCCUGCUGUACUGCUCCUGUUUGGUGGGCUGCUCGUGGAACCACCCCAAGGACAGCCCAGGAGCCCUGAGCUUCCUGCAGUCCAGGUCAGCCUUCACAAGGCAUCAGCUGUGCUGCAAAAGGAAAAGGUGGAGAGCACUUAGCUGAGGGGGCCAGACCUUGCCAUGGCUUCACAGGUGAGUCACUGUGACCUGUGGAGAUAUUGAGGGACAUGAACCACUGGUGCCUGCAGGACAGGAACCCCCAACACCCCUGAGAUCUCUGCUGGGAAAUUGCUCUUACCUGUUGCUUUGGGCAGGGUCAUGAUGUUUGGGAAGGCUCCAGAGGAGAGGCACUGAAAUCCUCCUCCCCAAAUGUCACAGAAGAGCUGUUCUAGCUGUCAGUCAGGGAAAAGGACCCUGAUUAAAAUCUUCAGAGCCUUUGAUGAGCAUCCAUCACUGACUUCCACCUGUCCUUCUGCAGGAGGAGACACCAACAUCAGCAGCACACACAGAUGUAAAGCUGCUCUAAAUUUUAACAAAUAAAACCAGGCAGUGGUCUUACAGGCACUAGUUUUCAGAUAUUUUUUUGUGUAUCCGCAAUUUAAAUCACUCAAAAUGCCACAAUUAGAUCCUAUUAAAAAUAUACACUGGAUAAUUUGGAUGUAUUUUAAUUAAACAUUAAUUUAUCCAAUUUAUACAAUUCAAGCACAGGAAAAUUCAGAACAGUAGAUUUAACAUGCCCCUGUGUGGUGCUGCGUGAUUCAUUUUUCAAGUCGCCUAAGUGUUGGUACCAACUAGAGCCACAAAGCAGCUACCAUUGUACCAGGAAACUGCUGGGGAAAUUGCAUUUAUCUGCUAGGAGAUCUUUGGUUUUUGGGGAAGCAGAACAUAAGACAACAUUAAUGAGAUGUAAUACAGAAGAAGGAUUGCUCCAGAGUCUCAGUGUUCCACAAUAAUUUGUCACCCAUUGCCUGCUGUGAGCAAUCUGUAUAAUUCUCUUGUCACCACCCCAGAGCCACGUUAUUUGGCCUUUGUCACCAGCAGACACUUACCCACUUACCAGGAGCCUGCACAGACCCUGGGAGCUGUGGCCCAGGAGGAUGGGCUCGUGUAACCUUUUGUGUGGUUGGGAAGGGUGGAGUGAAUCCCGGGGGACAGCGUGCUGGGACACGCCGUGCUGGUCCUGAGACAAGAAUCCUCCUGGAGGGACCAUGUGGGAGAUCUGCCCGGAGCAGAAACCCUGCUGCUGCCACACUCCCUCCACAUGUACCCACACACCCUCCUGCUGUCAGCAAAACUUGGCAUUUAGGACAGUCUUAAGCAAAUUUUUUUAGUGUGUAGCUCAUGUACUUGACUUCAUUAAAGACAUUCUGGUGUGUUUUUUUUAAUCAGCAA